UUCACUGUUAUGAUAUAUUGAAGCUGAUCUAUACAUUUCCUCAAUUUCUACCACCAAGUAAAUAGAAUCUGUUAUUGCUUGCUUGCUUUUGACCACUACAAUUUCUCAUGGUGCUUCUUAAGGGAAUGUACUUUUGAACAUACCAUGGUAUGGGUUUGCUCAAGACUAGAAGUAUGGAGCUGAGUUGAAGUGUUGUGCUACCGAAGAACAUGAAGACGUGAGGCUCAUCAUGCAGCAGAGACAAACAAGAAACAGAGACAGAUAUUCAAUUCUGCUGAGCGUUUGUGGCUUUGUGAUAACCCAGAACUACAUUAUGUACCCCAAAUCAUAUCCAUUGCACAUCACUUGGGAUCUGAGACAAAUGAUAUUAUUUGGUAGAAAGCAUCCUUCCUCCUACAUCUCUAGUUUCUACGUACACCCAAACAUAUCCUCAAUGUCUUUCUAUUUAAAUGGAUACCUCAUUUUGUGCUCUAUAUAUGUAUGAGCCAA